UCCGGUUUGACACCGGCAGUCUCCCUAGAGUGCCCGGCAUAACCCGCUGGUAACUAGGGACGAGGGUUGCGCUCGUUGCGGGACUUAACCCAACAUCUCACGACACGAGCUGACGACAGCCAUGCACCACCUGUGCACUGGCCCCGAAGGGCUGCCGUAUUUCUACGGCAUUCCAGUGCAUGUCAAGCCCUGGUAAGGUGGGGAUGACGUGUAA
rnacentral:misc_RNA from 1 species